rnacentral:misc_RNA from 1 species
GAGUUAGGGCCCCCAGGGGCCCGACCUCCAACCCUCUGUGUACCUACCGCGUUGCUUUGGCGGGCCCGCGGCCUCGGCCGCCGCCGGCUUCGGUCGGACCGCGCCCGCCAGAGGACAGCCAAACUCUUGUCAAUCAGUGCAGUCUGAGCUUCAAAUGGAUAACAUUUUAAAACUUUCAACAACGGAUCUCUUGGUUCU